AACCUCUUUUAUCUUCCCCACGCAGACCACGCGCAGACAUAGGGGUCUGCAGCUUGUUUGUUUUUUAGAAGGGUUUUCAUUAAAAAACCUCUUCCUCACCUCUGUUUCACACAGAUGUGGUCAUAAGACUUCUUGCCUCUUCUCAAAUCUUCUCCUUUAAAAAAAUUAAACCUUAAUCUUUCACAGCCACACCCACAGCUCCUCUCCAAUCCUCUUCACGUCUGCCAUCGCUGCACCUCCUCCGGCGCCGCCCCCACCUCUCGACGACCGCCACCUCUCGGCGACCUCCACCUCUCGACGACCUCCAUCAGCCUGCUCCACCUCUCGAGUCUCGAGACACAGAUAUGGAUUUAAGGUACAAAACUUUUCUUGAUGGAUGGGAAAUAAAUCCAAACGUGAAAUGUGUUCUGGUUGAGGGAAGUUCAUCAUGUUCAUUUCUGUAAUCUGCUUAAGACAUGAAUGGGUGAUUAAUAUUUGGUUAUUGUAUAAUAUAUUAUUUUUGUUUAAAUGUUAAAAAACUCUUUUAAGUUAAAUAAAAUCAGUUUAUUUGUAUUUCAGAUUA